rnacentral:rRNA from 1 species
GACGAACGCUGGCGGCGUGCUUAACACAUGCAAGUCGAACGGAAAGGCCCUGCUUUUGUGGGGUGCUCGAGUGGCGAACGGGUGAGUAACACGUGAGUAACCUGCCCUUGACUUUGGGAUAACUUCAGGAAACUGGGGCUAAUACCGGAUAGGAGCUCCUGCUGCAUGGUGGGGGUUGGAAAGUUUCGGCGGUUGGGGAUGGACUCGCGGCUUAUCAGCUUGUUGGUGGGGUAGUGGCUUACCAAGGCUUUGACGGGUAGCCGGCCUGAGAGGGUGACCGGCCACAUGGGAACUGGGAUACGGCCCAGACUCCUACGGGAGGCAGCGGUGGGGAAUAUGGCACAAUGGGCGGAGGCCUGAUGCAGCAACGCCGGGUGCGGGAUGACGGCCUUCGGGUUGUAAACCGCUUUCGCCUGUGACGAAGCGUGAGGGACGGUAAUGGGUAAAGAAGCACGGGCUAACUACGU